UUGUAGCUCAGCUGGUUAGAGCGCACCCCUGAUAAGGGUGAGGUCGGUGGUUCAAGUCCACCCAGACC
rnacentral:tRNA from 1 species